ACACCUGCCUGGCAGGGGAGGCGCCUGUGGGGGUGAGCGUGGUUUUCCCAGGGCGAGGCUUCUCCUUGGCAUUACAAAUGUGCUGACCUCUGUGAUUUCCCUAAAUAUGGGAAACAGGUGCACAGUGGUAGUGGGUACUGCAUUCACAUUCUCCCCUG
ensembl:snRNA predicted gene, 23027